rnacentral:rRNA from 1 species
AGAGUUUGAUCAUGGCUCAGGAUGAACGCCGGCGGUGUGCCUAAUACACGCAAGUCGUACGCACUGGCCCAACUGAUUGAUGGUGCUUGCACCUGAUUGACGAUGGAUCACCAGUGAGUGGCGGACGGGUGAGUAACACGUAGGUAACCUGCCCCGGAGCGGGGGAUAACAUUUGGAAACAGAUGCUAAUACCGCAUAACAACAAAAGCCACAUGGCUUUUGUUUGAAAGAUGGCUUUGGCUAUCACUCUGGGAUGGACCUGCGGUGCAUUAGCUAGUUGGUAAGGUAACGGCUUACCAAGGCGAUGAUGCAUAGCCGAGUUGAGAGACUGAUCGGCCACAAUGGAACUGAGACACGGUCCAUAUUCCUACGGGAGGCAGCAGUAGGGAAUCUUCCACAAUGGGCGCAAGCCUGAUGGAGCAACACCGCGUGAGUGAAGAAGGGUUUCGGCUCGUAAAGCUCUGUUGUUGGAGAAGAACGUGCGUGAGAGUAACUGUUCACGCAGUGACGGUAUCCAACCAGAAAGUCACGGCUAACUACGUGCCAGCAGCCGCGGUAAUACGUAGGUGGCAAGCGUUAUCCGGAUUUAUUGGGCGUAAAGCGAGCGCAGGCGGUUGCUUAGGUCUGAUGUGAAAGCCUUCGGCUUAACCGAAGAAGUGCAUCGGAAACCGGGCGACUUGAGUGCAGAAGAGGACAGUGGAACUCCAUGUGUAGCGGUGGAAUGCGUAGAUAUAUGGAAGAACACCAGUGGCGAAGGCGGCUGUCUGGUCUGCAACUGACGCUGAGGCUCGAAAGCAUGGGUAGCGAACAGGAUUAGAUACCCUGGUAGUCCAUGCCGUAAACGAUGAGUGCUAGGUGUUGGAGGGUUUCCGCCCUUCAGUGCCGGAGCU